rnacentral:rRNA from 1 species
GAUUAAGUUAUUAAGGGCGCACGGUGGAUGCCUUGGCACUAGAAGCCGAUGAAGGACGUUACUAACGACGAUAUGCUUUGGGGAGCUGUAAGUAAGCUUUGAUCCAGAGAUUUCCGAAUGGGGAAACCCAGCAUGAGUUAUGUCAUGUUAUCGAUAUGUGAAUACAUAGCAUAUCAGAAGGCACACCCGGAGAACUGAAACAUCUUAGUACCCGGAGGAAGAGAAAGAAAAUUCGAUUCCCUUAGUAGCGGCGAGCGAAACGGGAAGAGCCCAAACCAACAAGCUUGCUUGUUGGGGUUGUAGGACACUCUAUACGGAGUUACAAAGGACGACAUUAGACGAAUCAUCUGGAAAGAUGAAUCAAAGAAGGUAAUAAUCCUGUAGUCGAAAAUGUUGUCUCUCUUGAGUGGAUCCUGAGUACGACGGAGCACGUGAAAUUCCGUCGGAAUCUGGGAGGACCAUCUCCUAAGGCUAAAUACUCUCUAGUGACCGAUAGUGAACCAGUACCGUGAGGGAAAGGUGAAAAGCACCCCGGAAGGGGAGUGAAAUAGAACCUGAAACCGUGUGCUUACAAGUAGUCAGAGCCCGUUAAUGGGUGAUGGCGUGCCUUUUGUAGAAUGAACCGGCGAGUUACGAUUUGAUGCAAGGUUAAGCAGUAAAUGUGGAGCCGUAGCGAAAGCGAGUCUGAAUAGGGCGUUUAGUAUUUGGUCGUAGACCCGAAACCAGGUGAUCUACCCUUGGUCAGGUUGAAGUUCAGGUAACACUGAAUGGAGGACCGAACCGACUUACGUUGAAAAGUGAGCGGAUGAACUGAGGGUAGCGGAGAAAUUCCAAUCGAACCUGGAGAUAGCUGGUUCUCUCCGAAAUAGCUUUAGGGCUAGCCUCAAGUGAUGAUUAUUGGAGGUAGAGCACUGUUUGGACGAGGGGCCCCUCUCGGGUUACCGAAUUCAGACAAACUCCGAAUGCCAAUUAAUUUAACUUGGGAGUCAGAACAUGGGUGAUAAGGUCCGUGUUCGAAAGGGAAACAGCCCAGACCACCAGCUAAGGUCCCAAAAUAUAUGUUAAGUGGAAAAGGAUGUGGCGUUGCCCAGACAACUAGGAUGUUGGCUUAGAAGCAGCCAUCAUUUAAAGAGUGCGUAAUAGCUCACUAGUCGAGUGACACUGCGCCGAAAAUGUACCGGGGCUAAACAUAUUACCGAAGCUGUGGAUUGUCCUUUGGACAAUGGUAGGAGAGCGUUCUAAGGGCGUUGAAGCAUGAUCGCAAGGACAUGUGGAGCGCUUAGAAGUGAGAAUGCCGGUGUGAGUAGCGAAAGACGGGUGAGAAUCCCGUCCACCGAUUGACUAAGGUUUCCAGAGGAAGGCUCGUCCGCUCUGGGUUAGUCGGGUCCUAAGCUGAGGCCGACAGGCGUAGGCGAUGGAUAACAGGUUGAUAUUCCUGUACCACCUAUAAUCGUUUUAAUCGAUGGGGGGGACGCAGUAGGAUAGGCGAAGCGUGCGAUUGGAUUGCACGUCUAAGCAGUAAGGCUGAGUAUUAGGCAAAUCCGGUACUCGUUAAGGCUGAGCUGUGAUGGGGAGAAGACAUUGUGUCUUCGAGUCGUUGAUUUCACACUGCCAAGAAAAGCCUCUAGAUAGAAAAUAGGUGCCCGUACCGCAAACCGACACAGGUAGUCAAGAUGAGAAUUCUAAGGUGAGCGAGCGAACUCUCGUUAAGGAACUCGGCAAAAUGACCCCGUAACUUCGGGAGAAGGGGUGCUCUUUAGGGUUAACGCCCAGAAGAGCCGCAGUGAAUAGGCCCAAGCGACUGUUUAUCAAAAACACAGGUCUCUGCUAAACCGUAAGGUGAUGUAUAGGGGCUGACGCCUGCCCGGUGCUGGAAGGUUAAGAGGAGUGGUUAGCUUCUGCGAAGCUACGAAUCGAAGCCCCAGUAAACGGCGGCCGUAACUAUAACGGUCCUAAGGUAGCGAAAUUCCUUGUCGGGUAAGUUCCGACCCGCACGAAAGGCGUAACGAUUUGGGCACUGUCUCAACGAGAGACUCGGUGAAAUCAUAGUACCUGUGAAGAUGCAGGUUACCCGCGACAGGACGGAAAGACCCCGUGGAGCUUUACUGUAGCCUGAUAUUGAAAUUCGGCACAGCUUGUACAGGAUAGGUAGGAGCCUUUGAAACGUGAGCGCUAGCUUACGUGGAGGCGCUGGUGGGAUACUACCCUAGCUGUGUUGGCUUUCUAACCCGCACCACUUAUCGUGGUGGGAGACAGUGUCAGGCGGGCAGUUUGACUGGGGCGGUCGCCUCCUAAAAGGUAACGGAGGCGCUCAAAGGUUCCCUCAGAAUGGUUGGAAAUCAUUCAUAGAGUGUAAAGGCAUAAGGGAGCUUGACUGCGAGACCUACAAGUCGAGCAGGGUCGAAAGACGGACUUAGUGAUCCGGUGGUUCCGCAUGGAAGGGCCAUCGCUCAACGGAUAAAAGCUACCCCGGGGAUAACAGGCUUAUCUCCCCCAAGAGUUCACAUCGACGGGGAGGUUUGGCACCUCGAUGUCGGCUCAUCGCAUCCUGGGGCUGUAGUCGGUCCCAAGGGUUGGGCUGUUCGCCCAUUAAAGCGGUACGCGAGCUGGGUUCAGAACGUCGUGAGACAGUUCGGUCCCUAUCCGUCGUGGGCGUAGGAAAUUUGAGAGGAGCUGUCCUUAGUACGAGAGGACCGGGAUGGACAUACCUCUGGUGUACCAGUUGUCGUGCCAACGGCAUAGCUGGGUAGCUAUGUGUGGACGGGAUAAGUGCUGAAAGCAUCUAAGCAUGAAGCCCCCUCAAGAUGAGAUUUCCCAACUUCGGUUAUAAGAUCCCUCAAAGAUGAUGAGGUUAAUAGGUUCGAGGUGGAAGCAUGGUGACAUGUGGAGCUGACGAAUACUAAUCGAUCGAAGACUUAAUCAA